GACGAACGCUGGCGGCGUGCUUAACACAUGCAAGUCGAACGGAAAGGCCCUGCUUUUGUGGGGGGCUCGAGUGGCGAACGGGUGAGUAACACGUGAGUAACCUGCCCUUGACUUUGGGAUAACUUCAGGAAACUGGGGCUAAUACCGGAUAGGAGCUCCUGCUGCAUGGUGUGGGUUGGAAAGUUUCGGCGGUUGGGGAUGGACUCGCGGCUUAUCAGCUUGUUGGUGGGGUAGUGGCUUACCAAGGCUUUGACGGGUAGCCGGCCUGAGAGGGUGACCGGCCACAUUGGGACUGAGAUACGGCCCAGACUCCUACGGGAGGCAGCAGUGGGGAAUAUUGCACAAUGGGCGGAAGCCUGAUGCAGCAACGCCGCGUGCGGGAUGACGGCCUUCGGGUUGUAAACCGCUUUCGACUGUGACGAAGCGUGAGUGACGGUAAUGGGUAAAGAAGCACCGGCUAACUACGUG
rnacentral:rRNA from 1 species